rnacentral:rRNA from 1 species
GACGAACGCUGGCGGCGUGCUUAACACAUGCAAGUCGAACGGAAAGGCCCUGCUUUUGUGGGGUGCUCGAGUGGCGAACGGGUGAGUAACACGUGAGUAACCUGCCCUUGACUUUGGGAUAACUUCAGGAAACUGGGUCUAAUACCGGAUAGGAGCUCCCGCUUCAUGGUGGGGGUUGGAAAGUUUCGGCGGUUGGGGAUGGACUCGCGGCUUAUCAGCUUGUUGGUGGGGUAGUGGCUUACCAAGGCCUUGACGGGUAGCAGGCCUGAGAGGGUGACCGGCCACGUUGGGACGGAGAUACGGCACAGACUCCUACGGGAGGCAGCAGUGGGGAAUAUUGCACAAUGGGCGGAAGCCUGAUGCAGCAACGCCGCGUGCGGGAUGACGGCCUUCGGGUUGUAAACCGCUUUCGCCUGUGACGAAGCGUGAGUGACGGUAAUGGGUAAAUAAGCACCGGCUAACUACGUG